AUUUUAUUGAGGAUUUUUGCAUCAAUGUUCAUCAGGGAUAUUGGUCUAAAAUUCUCUUUUUUUUGUUGUGUCUCUGCCUGGCUUUGGUAUCAGGAUGAUGCUGGCCUCAUAAAAUGAGUUAGGGAGGAUUCCCUCUUUUUCUAUUGAUUGGAAUAGUUUCAGAACGAAUGGUACCAGUUCCUCCUUAUACCUCUGGAAGAAUUCGGCUGUAAAUCCAUCUGGUCCUGGACUCUUUUUGGUUGAGUCCCUGUGAGACGGUUUCACAGAAGGAUGUGUAUUUACCCAAAGCUACACAUCAAAAAGAAUUCGAUACCUUAAGUGGAAAAUUAGAAGAGUCUCCUGUUAAAGAUGGUCUUCUGAAGCCUACCUGUGGAAGGAAAGUUUCUCUUCCAAAUAAAGCCUUAGAAUUAAAGGACAGAGAAACAUUCAAAGCAGAGUCUCCUGAUAAAGAUGGUCUUCUGAAGCCUACCUGUGGAAGGAAAGUUUCUCUUCCAAAUAAAGCCUUAGAAUUAAAGGACAGAGAAACACUCAAAGCAGAGUCUCCUGAUAAUGAUGGUCUUCUGAAGCCUACCUGUGGAAGGAAAGUUUCUCUUCCAAAUAAAGCUUUAGAAUUGAAGGACAGAGAAACAUUCAAAGCAGCUCAGAUGUUCCCAUCAGAAUCCAAACAAAAGGAUGAUGAAGAAAAUUCUUGGGAUUUUGAGAGUUUCCUUGAGACUCUCUUACAGAAUGAUGUGUGUUUACCCAAGGCUACACAUCAAAAAGAAUUCGAUACCUUAAGUGGAAAAUUAGAAGAGUCUCCUGAUAAAGAUGGUCUUCUGAAGCCUACCUGUGGAAGGAAAGUUUCUCUUCCAAAUAAAGCCUUAGAAUUAAAGGACAGAGAAACACUCAAAAGUCUCCUGAUAAAGAUGGUCUUCUGAAGCCUACCUGUGUAAGGAAAGUUUCUCUUCCAAAUAAAGCCUUAGAAUUAAAGGACAGAGAAACAUUAAAAGCAGCUCAGAUGUUCCCAUCAGAAUCCAAACAAAAGGAUGAUGAAGAAAAUUCUUGGGAUUUUGAGAGUUUCCUUGAGGCUCUCUUACAGAAUGAUGGGUGUUUACCCAAGGCUACACAUCAAAAAGAAUUCGAUACCUUAAGUGGAAAAUUAGAAG
rnacentral:lncRNA from 1 species